UUUUUUGUUUGUUUGUUUGUUUUUUGUAUUUUUGGUAGAGACAGGCUUUCACCAUGUUGGCCAGGCUGGUCUCGAAAUCCUGACUCAUGUGAUCCACCUGCCUCAGCCUCCCACAGUGCUGGGAUUACAGCUGAAGCCUUGGGGAGCACUGAAGCCAAGGCGGUACCAUACCAAAAAUUUGAAACACAUGUGAAUGAGCUGAAUGUGGAAGGACUACCGGAAAACAUUCCUUUCAGAAGCCCCACAUUACAUGGAAUCUCAAGGCUCGAAAACAUCUUUCAAGUGAGCAAUCGAAUUAAGUUUGUUAUUAAGAGUAACUCCAGUUAGCCUCCAUUGUCUCCAAGCUGCCUUUCGUCCUCAUCCACAACUCCUCCACACAAGCUCUGAACACCUGUCCAUGUAAGUGACAUCCUGUAUGCCUUUAUUUUUAUUUUAUUUUAUUUUUGAGACAGAGUCUUGCUCUGUUGCCCAGG